rnacentral:ncRNA from 20 species
UCUGAAUUGAAUAUGGCGAGGUGCCUGCGUUUUCAUUCCGCAGGAGAAUAGAGAAGUGAGGUGAAAAUCCUCCACGGUCACGCCGCUGUAAAAGAAGAGUUGUCCCUAAAACGUGUCACUGGGCUCUGCCUGGGAAGGCCGGGGGCAAUGAGGACGCUUGAGUCAGAAGACCUGCCCGCCAUAGGAAAUCGGCA